AUUGGUCAAAUGGUCAUGGAUAUGCACCUGAAAAAAUGCUUAUUUAAUGGAAUUGGUUGUUUUGACCUAUAAAAGACAUCGUUCAAUAUCUUCACGACACCAUGACCUUCCGCAGCUCCUUUUGCAAUUGUCAAAUUCACGAUGGAGCCACAUUUUAUUAAAAUCUUCACAGCACUUUAAAAAGAAAGAAACAGAAAUAAGGAAAAAUACACGUUGAUGAUGUAGCGAUUUCUACUGUAGUCUUCUGUUUGUACGUAACAUAUUAUAAAUAACAAAAUUGUGUUAUUGUCUUCAA